rnacentral:rRNA from 1 species
GGGUUGUGAGGUUAAGCGACUAAGCGUACACGGUGGAUGCCCUGGCAGUCAGAGGCGAUGAAGGACGUGCUAAUCUGCGAUAAGCGUCGGUAAGGUGAUAUGAACCGUUAUAACCGGCGAUUUCCGAAUGGGGAAACCCAGUGUGUUUCGACACACUAUCAUUAACUGAAUCCAUAGGUUAAUGAGGCGAACCGGGGGAACUGAAACAUCUAAGUACCCCGAGGAAAAGAAAUCAACCGAGAUUCCCCCAGUAGCGGCGAGCGAACGGGGAGCAGCCCAGAGCCUGAAUCAGUGUGUGUGUUAGUGGAAGCGUCUGGAAAGGCGCGCGAUACAGGGUGACAGCCCCGUACACAAAAAUGCACAUAUUGUGAGCUCGAUGAGUAGGGCGGGACACGUGGUAUCCUGUCUGAAUAUGGGGGGACCAUCCUCCAAGGCUAAAUACUCCUGACUGACCGAUAGUGAACCAGUACCGUGAGGGAAAGGCGAAAAGAACCCCGGCGAGGGGAGUGAAAAAGAACCUGAAACCGUGUACGUACAAGCAGUGGGAGCCUCUUUAUGGGGUGACUGCGUACCUUUUGUAUAAUGGGUCAGCGACUUAUAUUCUGUAGCAAGGUUAACCGAAUAGGGGAGCCGAAGGGAAACCGAGUCUUAACUGGGCGUUAAGUUGCAGGGUAUAGACCCGAAACCCGGUGAUCUAGCCAUGGGCAGGUUGAAGGUUGGGUAACACUAACUGGAGGACCGAACCGACUAAUGUUGAAAAAUUAGCGGAUGACUUGUGGCUGGGGGUGAAAGGCCAAUCAAACCGGGAGAUAGCUGGUUCUCCCCGAAAGCUAUUUAGGUAGCGCCUCGUGAAUUCAUCUCCGGGGGUAGAGCACUGUUUCGGCAAGGGGGUCAUCCCGACUUACCAACCCGAUGCAAACUGCGAAUACCGGAGAAUGUUAUCACGGGAGACACACGGCGGGUGCUAACGUCCGUCGUGAAGAGGGAAACAACCCAGACCGCCAGCUAAGGUCCCAAAGUCAUGGUUAAGUGGGAAACGAUGUGGGAAGGCCCAGACAGCCAGGAUGUUGGCUUAGAAGCAGCCAUCAUUUAAAGAAAGCGUAAUAGCUCACUGGUCGAGUCGGCCUGCGCGGAAGAUGUAACGGGGCUAAACCAUGCACCGAAGCUGCGGCAGCGACACUAUGUGUUGUUGGGUAGGGGAGCGUUCUGUAAGCCUGUGAAGGUGUGCUGUGAGGUAUGCUGGAGGUAUCAGAAGUGCGAAUGCUGACAUAAGUAACGAUAAAGCGGGUGAAAAGCCCGCUCGCCGGAAGACCAAGGGUUCCUGUCCAACGUUAAUCGGGGCAGGGUGAGUCGACCCCUAAGGCGAGGCCGAAAGGCGUAGUCGAUGGGAAACAGGUUAAUAUUCCUGUACUUGGUGUUACUGCGAAGGGGGGACGGAGAAGGCUAUGUUGGCCGGGCGACGGUUGUCCCGGUUUAAGCGUGUAGGCUGGUUUUCCAGGCAAAUCCGGAAAAUCAAGGCUGAGGCGUGAUGACGAGGCACUACGGUGCUGAAGCAACAAAUGCCCUGCUUCCAGGAAAAGCCUCUAAGCAUCAGGUAACAUCAAAUCGUACCCCAAACCGACACAGGUGGUCAGGUAGAGAAUACCAAGGCGCUUGAGAGAACUCGGGUGAAGGAACUAGGCAAAAUGGUGCCGUAACUUCGGGAGAAGGCACGCUGAUAUGUAGGUGAAGUCCCUUGCGGAUGGAGCUGAAAUCAGUCGAAGAUACCAGCUGGCUGCAACUGUUUAUUAAAAACACAGCACUGUGCAAACACGAAAGUGGACGUAUACGGUGUGACGCCUGCCCGGUGCCGGAAGGUUAAUUGAUGGGGUUAGCGGUAACGCGAAGCUCUUGAUCGAAGCCCCGGUAAACGGCGGCCGUAACUAUAACGGUCCUAAGGUAGCGAAAUUCCUUGUCGGGUAAGUUCCGACCUGCACGAAUGGCGUAAUGAUGGCCAGGCUGUCUCCACCCGAGACUCAGUGAAAUUGAACUCGCUGUGAAGAUGCAGUGUACCCGCGGCAAGACGGAAAGACCCCGUGAACCUUUACUAUAGCUUGACACUGAACAUUGAACCUUGAUGUGUAGGAUAGGUGGGAGGCUUUGAAGUGUGGACGCCAGUCUGCAUGGAGCCGACCUUGAAAUACCACCCUUUAAUGUUUGAUGUUCUAACGUUGGCCCCUGAUCGGGGUUGCGGACAGUGUCUGGUGGGUAGUUUGACUGGGGCGGUCUCCUCCUAAAGAGUAACGGAGGAGCACGAAGGUUGGCUAAUCCUGGUCGGACAUCAGGAGGUUAGUGCAAUGGCAUAAGCCAGCUUGACUGCGAGCGUGACGGCGCGAGCAGGUGCGAAAGCAGGUCAUAGUGAUCCGGUGGUUCUGAAUGGAAGGGCCAUCGCUCAACGGAUAAAAGGUACUCCGGGGAUAACAGGCUGAUACCGCCCAAGAGUUCAUAUCGACGGCGGUGUUUGGCACCUCGAUGUCGGCUCAUCACAUCCUGGGGCUGAAGUAGGUCCCAAGGGUAUGGCUGUUCGCCAUUUAAAGUGGUACGCGAGCUGGGUUUAGAACGUCGUGAGACAGUUCGGUCCCUAUCUGCCGUGGGCGCUGGAGAACUGAGGGGGGCUGCUCCUAGUACGAGAGGACCGGAGUGGACGCAUCACUGGUGUUCGGGUUGUCAUGCCAAUGGCACUGCCCGGUAGCUAAAUGCGGAAGAGAUAAGUGCUGAAAGCAUCUAAGCACGAAACUUGCCCCGAGAUGAGUUCUCCCUGACCCUUUAAGGGUCCUGAAGGAACGUUGAAGACGACGACGUUGAUAGGCCGGGUGUGUAAGCGCAGCGAUGCGUUGAGCUAACCGGUACUAAUGAACCGUGAGGCUUAACCUUACAACGCCGAAG